rnacentral:misc_RNA from 1 species
GGAGUAGUUGCUAUGGUUUUGGGUAUUGAUGAUGAAUUUGGACCUCGUCUCUAUAAAUGUGACCCAGCUGGCCACUACUUUGGCCACAAGGCUACAAGUGCGGGGUUAAAAGAGCAAGAAGCAAUUAAUUUCUUGGAGAAGAAAAUGAAGAAUGAUCCUCAAUUUACCUACGAGGAAACAGUGCAGACUGCAAUCUCUGCCCUGCAAUCAGUUCUACAGGAGGAUUUUAAGGCCACUGAGAUUGAGGUUGGAGUGGUGAGGAAGGAGAACCCCGACUUCAGAAUGUUGUCCACUGAGGAGAUUGAUGAGCACUUGACUGCUAUAAGCGAGCGAGACUAAAUGAUGAACUGUUGAUUGGAUCCAGUAUUCUUGAAACUUUUAGUCAAUGUUUAGACGUUUGUUUCUGUCCAGAA